UUUAUAUAUUAGAGUAGGGCUACUAUACUCUUAAGAGUAUUGGACUUUUCGUACUCAUAAGUUGUUUUCGAUGAUGGAGCUUCCGAAUCGACGAUCCACUCCGUUAAAUAUGAUAUAGAGUAUUUGAAACUUUUAGAAAAUAAAUUUUGUAAUUUUUCGAAAUCAUAAUAAAGGCCAUCAAGCGGGCAUAAAAUGAACGGUCAAAAUCGAACGACGUACUAAAAAUGAAUGAUCUGAUUCUUCAAGUUAAGAUCGGAGUUAUUGAUUUUUAUCUAGACAGUGAAUAGAAUUUUCUAUCAAAAAUUCAGCCUAUUCCGAUUUUUUUGUACCGUUAAACUAGUAAGUAUUCUAUACCGGCCGUAAAAAUUGUCAAUUUUGUGACCUUUUGAUCGUAAGGUAAAUGAUAUCAAAAAAUUAUAAAAUUUGAUUUAUAGAAGUUUUAAAUGCUCUAGAAAAUGUUUAACGGUAUGGUUCGUCGAUUCGGAAGCUUUAUCAUCGAAAACAACUUAUGAGUACGAACGCGAUCGUACUUACAAGAGUAUAGUAGCCGGAUUCUAUAUAUAUAUAUAUAUAUAUAGGCCAUGGCUACUAUACUAUUAUGAGUAUUGGAGCCCUUGUACUCAUAAGUUGUUUUCUAUGAUGGAGCUUCGGAGUUGACGAUCCAUUCCGUUAAAUAUGAUCUAGAGUAUUUGAAAUUUUAGAAAAUAAAUUUCGUAAAUUUUCAAAAUUAUAGUAAAGUCCAUCAAGUGGGCAUAAAAUGAAAGGUCAAAAUCGAACGACGUCCUAAAAAAGAAUAAUCGGAUCUUUCAAUUCAAGAUCAGAGUUAUCGAUCUUUAUCUAUAUAGUGAAUAGAAUUUUCUAUCAAAAAUUUAACAAAUUCUAAUUAUUUUACACCGUUAAA
rnacentral:lncRNA from 1 species